UGGGGGAUAUUGCACAAUGGGCGAAAGCCUGAUGCAGCGACGCCGCGUGGGGGAUGAAGGCUUUCGGGUUGUAAACCUCUUUCGCUAUCGAACAAGGCCCGCUUAGGGUGGGUUGAGGGUAGGUGGAGAAGAAGCGCCGGCUAACUACGUGCCAGCAGCCGCGGUAAUACUUAGGGCGCGAGCGUUGUCCGGAAUUAUUGGGCGUAAAGGGCUUGUAGGCGGCUUGUUGCGCCUGCUGUGAAAACGCGGGGCUUAACUUCGCGCGUGCAGUGGGUACGGGCAGGCUUGAGUGUGGUAGGGGUGACUGGAAUUCCAGGUGUAGCGGUGGAAUGCGCAGAUAUCUGGAGGAACACCGAUGGCGAAGGCAGGUCACUGGGCCAUUACUGACGCUGAGGAGCGAAAGCAUGGGUAGCGAACAGG
rnacentral:rRNA from 1 species